UCCGGUUCAUCACCGGCAGUCUCCUUAGAGUCCCCAACUAAAUGAUGGCAACUAAGGACAAGGGUUGCGCUCGUUACGGGACUUAACCCAACAUCUCACAACACGAGCUGACGACAGCCAUGCAGCACCUGUCUCUGCGUUCCUUUCGGCACUCCCAAUUCUCAUCAGGAUUCGCAGGAUGUCAAGGGUAGGUAAGGUUCUUCGCGUUGCAUCGAAUUAAACCACAUGCUCCACCGCUUGUGCGGGCCCCCGUCAAUUCCUUUGAGUUUCAACCUUGCGGCCGUACUUCCCAGGCGGAGAACUUAUCGCGUUAGCUUCGAUACCGAUUGGUUCCCCAACCAACAUCUAGUUCUCAUCGUUUACUGCGUGGACUAC
rnacentral:misc_RNA from 1 species